rnacentral:rRNA from 1 species
UACGUAGGUGGCAAGCGUUGUCCGGAUUUACUGGGCGUAAAGAGCGCGCAGGCGGUCGUUCAAGUCGCGUGUGAAAGCCCCCGGCUCAACUGGGGAGGGUCACGCGAUACUGAUCGACUCGAAGGCAGGAGAGGGUAGUGGAAUUCCAGGUGUAGCGGUGAAAUGCGUAGAUAUCUGGAGGAACACCGGUGGCGAAGGCGGCAUCCUGGACCGGCAUUGACGCUGAGGCGCGAAAGCCAGGGGAGCAAAGCGGG